GUUAGGAAUAUUGGACAAUGGGCGCAAGCCUGAUCCAGCCAUGCCGCGUGAACGAUGAAGGCCUUCGGGUUGUAAAGUUCUUUAGCCGAUGAUUAUAAUGACUGUAGUCGGAAAAUAAGCCCCGGCUAACUUCGUGCCAGCAGCCGCGGUAAUACGAAGGGGGCGAGCGUUAUUCGGAAUCACUGGGCGUAAAGCGUGCGUAGGCGGUUUUGUAAGUUAGGAGUGAAAGCCCAGGGCUCAACCUUGGAAUUGCUCUUAAAACUGCAAGGCUCGAAUCUCGGAGAGGAUAGCGGAAUUUCCAGUGUAGCAGUGAAAUGCGUAGAUAUUGGAAGGAACACCAGUGGCGUAAGCGGCUAUCUGGACGAGUAUUGACGCUGAGGCACGAAAGCGUGGGGAUCAAACAGGAUUAGAAACCCGGGUAGUCC
rnacentral:rRNA from 1 species